GAUGUUGUCGCAUGUUAUACAUUCAAAAACAAUUGAAGCAAAAGUAUUGCAUAUGCAACACAUUUGCAGUAUGCAACACAUUUGCAGGCUUUAAGGUUUGCGGAGCAUCUUUAGAGUCCUUCCCAAAUGUAGAUGUGUAUUUGUAUUGUUUAUCAUUAUGCUGCGAUCUGAGCUCCAGCUGACAUUUCCUUGUACUUGUGAUAUUACUAGUAGCCAUAAAUUGAGCCCGUAUAUUUUGUAUGUGUCGUACAUUUAAACAGGUCUGUAUUGUAGCUGCAAGCAAUAAAGCAUUGCUGAGUUAGAUAGGAAAUUAUGAUUUCUGUUCCUGCAGCAUAAUGUUUAAUUCAGUGAUAAAGCUUCGUAGAGGAGAGAAGCUUGCAUUCUAAUAGUAUUUUUUCUUCCAUGGGGAAAAGAGGUUUUAUCUGGUUUUAUAACAACAUUCCCCCCACCCACCCAAACAGAAGGGCAGAGACGUGACUUGCACUACACAUUUUGGCUUUGUGGUGUAACCCUAGAUGAGCACGUGUCGUGAUCUCUAGCUAUAGCUUUUGCAUGAAUAUCGUAUGGCUUAGCAGAAAUUGGAAUACCCACGCAUCAGAUGAGUACUCUAAUCACCAGGACUUCAUUUAUAUCUUUUUAUCUGUUUUAUCCGUAGGGAGUAUAAUUUUUUUCCUACUCUCUUUAGGCACACCUCAGUGAAAAAUAUCUCGUUCCUCCAAAGCUUUGAGGAAGCAGCUUAAUUAUUCAUUGGUGUUAGCUACUGGAUAUUUAAGACCUGGAUGUUUGUGUUGCUUUCUGAAAGAGCUGCCACUCCUCUCAAGCAGAGGCCAGAUUAUUCUGGGCAGAGCAGGCAGGAUCUGGCCCAUGGAGCCAGAAAGCUCCUGCACCCCAACCUAGAGGAAUGUUUCGUGUGUCUCCCCCCUUUCACUAGGGGGCUGUGAGGGGAGGCAAUAAAGUGCAUUAGUGGAUUUGGGAGAGAACUAUCUCACCCAAGUCUGCUGUUGGGAACUGCUGCCUAAAUUUGGCGCUUUCUGCCAGUUGUGGGAAAUGAUUGGCAAAAUAAAUAACUUGAAAGGGAGAGAGAUUGUAGGCUUGUCCACUCAUUCUGGUUAUGCCCCACCCAUCCAACUCAGAUUUGGGCUUAGACAGAGAACAAACUUACUACACGCUAAAAAUUAUUGUCCAAAUACACACACAAGAGGGAGGCACCAGCCGACUUGACAGAAUCCUGAACAGGGACACUUGUGAAGAGGACAUCUUAAGAGGCCUUGUGCAUGUUGACUAGUCCUGUAAUUUGGGAGGAUUUAAAACCAUGCAACUGCAGGUGGCUAAAGGUAGCUGUGACCAAUCUGCCUUGGCCGCAGCUUGGUGACAUUCUCCCCUCUCAGCACCUACCCAUCUGCCAAGCUAAGCACUCGCUGGGCUUGUGCUGCUAUCAUGCCAAAGCAUCUGUCCAGUUGUGACACCUUGCACGGUGGCGGCUCAUCUUCCAUUCCCCACUGCAGGCACAAUUUUAUAUUUGUAGCAAGUCCCUACAUUAACCAAAAGUUUAAGCAGAAGGCAACAGAGAGGUGGAAAUGUGUUGUUGCAGCUUCCCUGGACAUGUUUGGUUGUGCACAGAACCUGUUUAAACUUAGAGCUGUUCACUUUUCACUUUAUUGAAAUGGCUGUCGAAGUAAGCUCUCUCCCCCUUCAUUUCCAAGGGGGCAACAUUUGCCCCCUGGGUGUGAAACAUACAAGCAUGGUGAGAUGGAGGGAGGCUCAGCUACCAAGAGAACAGGUGGGAAAUUGUAUGUAUAAAUAUUAACAAAAGUAAAUAAUAAGCAUUCGUAAUAUUUAAUUCCAGAGGUGGUAAACCACAGGACAUUCAGGCGCACUAGGCCGUUUUAAAUGGCCUUCCAUCACAGCACUGGGCUUGGAGGAAAAUAAUGGAAAGAAGAUGCCUUUGCCUCCUGGCAUCACUGCAGCUUCAAAAAGUCAGGAUGCUUGGAGGGUCAGGGGGGAGAUCCAAGGGAAUUUGCGGGAGAGGCUGCACAGAUGCAGAAAGAGACCAAAGGGGGGGGGAGGAUUGAGAGUGAGUGUGAGGAGGGCUGCAAGGGAAGUCCGAGGGAAGAGAAUAAAUUCUGGGUUGGCAAGCCCAAUGGCAAUGUACCUAGGAAAGAAUGGAAAAUAGCAUAGGAUGAUACGAGAAACCCUACAUUACAGAAAAGGAACUAGACAGUGGAACCCAGGGAUGAGAAGAUCCCAAACCCUAGUGGUACGGAUCCCAUCUGGCUCUUUCUUAAUUUUUUAAGAAUUCCUCCAUCACAGCAUUGGACUUGAAAUCUACAGAACCUCUAGACUUCCUUUCCUUGUUGAGGUUCUGAAUGGUACCAGGAAUCGGGAGCUGCGGCCAUUCUAAACGACGUCUCAUUCAACAGCAAUUCUGUUCCAUUGAGGAUCUAACACAAUUUGCUACCACUGAUCGCCAAAUCCUUCAGGUUUUCACCAGGAUUUCAGCUAACGGAGCCAAAAGAGGAAACAAAUUGUACAAAAGCUAUGUCAUAGCCAGCGUGGGAUCCUUCGCUCCUCACUAGAUACUGAUCCAUCAAGAAUUCGUGACCAGCUGAAAGGCAGCUUCCACAUUCCGACAAGGUUACCUCAUCUGAGCUCGGGGCACGUUGCUACCACAUCAAAUGAAGCCUCGUCUGAAGAGAAAGGGAAGAAUAAAUGAAAGAAAAACAUAUUCUCUUUGUGUAUGAAAUGUAUACAUCACCUUGAAAAAGAACCUCAACAGGCAUGAAGACAAAACAGGCUCAGCCAAUCUUAACAACAAUUCAAUAAAACAUACUACAAAAUU